UACGGGGGGAGCGAACGUUGUUCGGAAUCACUGGGCGUAAAGGGCGCGUAGGCGGCUGAAUAAGUGGGAUGUUAAAUCCCCGGGCUCAACCCGGGACCUGCAUCUCAUACUGUUCAGCUCGAGCACAUCAGAGGAGACUGGAAUUCCCGGUGUAGCGGUGAAAUGUGUAGAGAUCGGGAGGAACACCGGUGGCGAAGGCGGGUCUCUGGGCAUCUCCUGACGCUGAGGCGCGAAAGCGUGGGGAGCAAACGGG
rnacentral:rRNA from 1 species